rnacentral:rRNA from 1 species
GUGUCAGCAGCCGCGGUAAUACGGAGGGUGCGAGCGUUAAUCGGAAUUACUGGGCGUAAAGCGUGCGUAGGCGGAUAGGUCAGUCAGCCGUGAAAGCCCCGGGCUCAACCUGGGAACGGCGGUUGAGACGGCCUGUCUUGAGUGGGCUAGAGGGCUGUGGAACUCCCGGUGUAGCGGUGAAAUGCGUAGGGAUCGGGAAGAACACCGAUGGCGAAGGCAGCGGUCUGGGGCCACACUGACGCUGAGGCACGAAAGCGUGGGGAGCAAACAGGAUUAGAUACCCUGGUAGUCCACGCGGUAAACGAUGUGCACUAGACGCUGGGUGGGUGACCGUCCGGUGUCGCAGCUAACGCGCUAAGUGCUCCGCCUGGGGAGUACGGCCGCAAGGUUGAAACUUAAAUGAAUUGACGGGG